UAAUACGAAAGGUGCAAGCGUUACUCGGAAUCACUGGGCGUAAAGCGCACGUAGGCGGACUUACAGGUCAAUUGUGAAAUACCUGGGCUCAACCCGGGAACUGCAGUUGAAACCGUUUGUCUUGAAUACCUGAGAGGGUGGGGGAAUACCUGGUGGAGAAGUGAAAUUCGUAGAGAUCAGGUGGAACACCGGAGGCGAAGGCGCCUGCCUGGCAGUGUAUUGACGCUGAGGUGCGAAAGUGCGGGGAGCAAACAGG
rnacentral:rRNA from 1 species